AGUGAACGCUGGCGGUAGGCCUAACACAUGCAAGUCGAACGGCAGCACAGUAAGAGCUUGCUCUUACGGGUGGCGAGUGGCGGACGGGUGAGGAAUACAUCGGAAUCUACUUUUUCGUGGGGGAUAACGUAGGGAAACUUACGCUAAUACCGCAUACGACCUACGGGUGAAAGCAGGGGAUCUUCGGACCUUGCGCGAUUGAAUGAGCCGAUGUCGGAUUAGCUAGUUGGCGGGGUAAAGGCCCACCAAGGCGACGAUCCGUAGCUGGUCUGAGAGGAUGAUCAGCCACACUGGAACUGAGACACGGUCCAGAAUCCUACGGGAGGCAGAAGUGGGGAAUAUUGGACAAUGGGCGCAAGCCUGAUCCAGCCAUACCGCGUGGGUGAAGAAGGCCUUCGGGUUGUAAAGCCCUUUUGUUGGGAAAGAAAAGCAGCAGGUUAAUACCCCGCUGUUCUGACGGUACCCAAAGAAUAAGCACCGGCUAACUUCGUG
rnacentral:rRNA from 1 species